GAUCAAGUGUCUUAAGGGCAAUUGGUGGAUGCCUUGGCAUGCACAGGCGAUGAAGGACGUGAUACGCUGCGAUAAGCUACGGGGAGGUGCGAAUACCCUUUGAUCCGUAGAUUUCCGAAUGGGGAAACCCACCUAAGGUGCUUGGAAAAUCAGAGCAGCAGGGCAACUUGCUGCUGUGGUUUCCAAGUAUCGAUAAUAGGUAACUUAUCCUGAAUACAUAGGGAUAAAGUGGCGAACGCGGGGAACUGAAACAUCUAAGUACCCGUAGGAAAGGACAUCAACCGAGACUCCGGCAGUAGUGGCGAGCGAACCCGGACCAGGCCAGUGGCGAUGAUGAGACAAGCGGAACCUUCUGGAAAGUAGGGCCAUAGUGGGUGACAGCCCCGUACGCGUAAUGCAAAUCAUCGUCCUCGAGUAAGGCGGGACACGUGAAAUCCUGUCUGAAAUUGGGGGGACCACCCUCCAAGCCUAAGUACUCGUGCAUGACCGAUAGCGAACUAGUACCGUGAGGGAAAGGUGAAAAGCACCCCGACAAGGGGAGUGAAAGAGUACCUGAAACCGAUUGCCUACAAACAGUGGGAGCCCGCAAGGGUGACCACGUACCUUUUGUAUAAUGGGUCAGCGACUUAGUGUGACGAGCAAGCUUAAACCGCUAGGUGUAGGCGCAGCGAAAGCGAGUCUGAACAGGGCGUUCAGUUCGUCGCAUUAGACCCGAAACCGAGUGAUCUAGCCAUGAGCAGGUUGAAGGUAAGGUAACACUUACUGGAGGACCGAACCCAUAACUGUUGCAAUAGUUCGGGAUGACUUGUGGCUAGGGGUGAAAGGCCAAUCAAACUCGGAAAUAGCUGGUUCUCCGCGAAAUCUAUUUAGGUAGAGCGUCGACCGAAUACCCCAGGGGGUAGAGCACUGGAUGGGCUAGGGGUCCUCACCGGAUUACCAAACCUAACCAAACUCCGAAUACCUGGGAGUACUAGUCGGCAGACACACGGCGGGUGCUAACGUCCGUCGUGAAAAGGGAAACAACCCUGACCUACAGCUAAGGUCCCCAAGUUAUGGCUAAGUGGGAAAGGAUGUGAGGAUCCCAAAACAACCAGGAUGUUGGCUUAGAAGCAGCCAUCAUUUAAAGAAAGCGUAACAGCUCACUGGUCUAAAUAAGGGUCUUUGCGCCGAAAAUGUAACGGGGCUCAAGCCAUACACCGAAGCUUAGGGUGGCGAUAAUCCUUCGGGAUUACGCUGCGGUANNNNNNNNNNNNNNNNNNNNNNNNNNNNNNNNNNNNNNNNNNNNNNNNNNNNNNNNNNNNNNNNNNNNNNNNNNNNNNNNNNNNNNNNNNNNNNNNNNNNGGAGCCACCCUUGAAAUACCACCCUUAUCACUAUGGAUGUCUAACCGCGGCCCGUUAUCCGGGUCCGGGACAAUGUAUGGUGGGUAGUUUGACUGGGGCGGUCGCCUCCUAAAGAGUAACGGAGGCGCGCGAUGGUGGGCUCAGAACGGUCGGAAAUCGUUCGCUGAGUGCAAUGGCAUAAGCCUGCCUGACUGCGAGACUGACAAGUCGAGCAGAGACGAAAGUCGGUCAUAGUGAUCCGGUGGUCCCGCGUGGAAGGGCCAUCGCUCAACGGAUAAAAGGUACGCCGGGGAUAACAGGCUGAUGACCCCCAAGAGUCCAUAUCGACGGGGUUGUUUGGCACCUCGAUGUCGACUCAUCGCAUCCUGGGGCUGGAGCAGGUCCCAAGGGUAUGGCUGUUCGCCAUUUAAAGCGGUACGUGAGUUGGGUUCAGAACGUCGUGAGACAGUUCGGUCCCUAUCUGCCGUGGGUGUAGGAAUAUUGAAAGGAUCUGUCCCUAGUACGAGAGGACCGGGAUGGACGGAUCUCUGGUGGACCUGUUGUGGCGCCAGCCGCAUAGCAGGGUAGCUAUAUCCGGACGGGAUAACCGCUGAAGGCAUCUAAGCGGGAAACCCACCUUAAAACGAGUAUUCCCUGAGAACCGUGGAAGACGACCACGUUGAUAGGCCGGGUGUGGAAGAGCGGCAACGCUUGAAGCUUACCGGUACUAAUAGUUCGAUCGGCUUGAUCGUUCUCAUU
rnacentral:rRNA from 1 species